rnacentral:lncRNA from 1 species
UUUCUUCUACUUUUUCUAUUUUUUAUUCUCCUCAUUCACACAAUUGUCGGAGAAGGAGAAGAAGAACUUACAGAUGGAGGAAGAGCAAUUGAUGGAAAAUUAGAGAAGAGUGAUUCGAUUCCGAAUUGAUGCAUUAAUUUGGUGAUGAAAUUAAAUUUCAUAUUUCACUAACGAAAUUGGAGGUAAUUUUUCAUUCUAAUUAUAAAUUUCUGGGUUUUCCUUCUAAUUUUUAUCUCUAGAUUUAAUUUGCAUUUGCAGAUCAAAUUGCAUACUGUUUUUGAUGUGAUAAUGAGGCAAACACAUGCUUUAAAGUUAUAUGAAGACAUAGACUUCAACAAAAGCUCUUCUCGCAAUUCUCAAAAUUUUGUAUCUCAAUCUCUUAUCGUGGUUAGAUUUUCUUAUUUUUGGUGAGUUCUAUCACCCUUCUUCUUCCUUUGAGAAAUAUAGGAAUAAUAUAAAUAAAUAAAUGCAAUAAAUUGGUUCUUUAUUAGCAAAUAUAAAGGACGGAUUUUGAAUCUGACAAAUAUAGAUGCAAUAAAAUUUUGAUUUGAAUGUAUAAUCUUUGCAUGUGGAUCUUUGGGAUUUUAAACAAAGUUCUCUAAUUUUUCAUUCAAUCGUGUGUUCAAAGUUCAUUGUGUGUUUUUAUUUUGUAGCUUUCAUCAUUGCUCAAAUUGAAAAAAAAAAUCUCCUUCUUGGUUUCUCAGUUUGAGUUGCAUGUCAGUACUUACCUUCGCUCUCCACUGUACCAAAAGUGUUUGAUUGUAUGCCUAAAUGAACUUUUCCCCUUCUUUAACUGUACAUUUAUAGAAAUUUCUACUCAAAUUUCCUGCUUAUUGCACUUCAUUGCUGGUCUANNN